UGGGGAAUAUUGCACAAUGGGGGAAACCCUGAUGCAGCGACGCCGCGUGAGUGAAGAAGUAUUUCGGUAUGUAAAGCUCUAUCAGCAGGGAAGAAAAUGACGGUACCUGACUAAGAAGCCCCGGCUAACUACGUGCCAGCAGCCGCGGUAAUACGUAGGGGGCAAGCGUUAUCCGGAUUUACUGGGUGUAAAGGGUGCGUAGGCGGUAUGGCAAGUCAGAAGUGAAAACGCAGGGCUUAACCCUGCGACUGCUUUUGAAACUGUCAGACUAGAGUACAGGAGAGGCAAGCGGAAUUCCUAGUGUAGCGGUGAAAUGCGUAGAUAUUAGG
rnacentral:rRNA from 1 species